rnacentral:lncRNA from 1 species
CAAAGUCACACCCAAGAAUAUUCAUCACAGCACUAUGUGUAAGAGUCCCCAAACUGAUGAUUACCCAAAUGUCCACCAGUGAUAGAAUGGAUGUGUAAACUGUGAAAUAUUCCCACAGUGGAAUAUUAUCUAGAAGUAAAAAUGAACAAACUGCUGCAACACAUGACAUGCAGCGACAUGGAUGAACUUCACAAAAUAAUACUGAACCAAAGAAGCCACACAUAAAAGAAAACAUACUGUGUAAGUCCAUUUACAUAAAGUUCAAAAACAAGAGAAAGCAGUCUAUGAAGGUGGAAAGCAGGAAAGAGUAGUUAUCUUGGUGGUGUAAGAACUAGUGGUGCUGGGGCUUGAGAGCUGUUUUUGGGGUGCUGGUAAUUUCUAUUUAUCAAUCUGGGUGCUGAAUCCUUGGGUGUGUACACCUAGUAGAAAGUCAUCAAGUUGCAUACUCAUGAUGUGUUCACUUUUCUGUGUAUAUAUAUCCUACAUCAAAAAAAAAUUUUACUUAAAAAGAAAUUGCCCUGCCAAGUUAGGUUUGGGGUGAUAUUCCCAGCUGCAUCCCUGAGCCUUGGUGCCAGCUGGGCCAGGGGGCCUUACUUCCUUCCUCUUGCUGUUUCUCAGAGCCUGCACCAGGGAGAAGAAAUCUUUUUUUCCCUUCUUACUCUUUCCUCUCCCUUGGCCUGGAGCUAUUGUACAUAUGCAAAUGCAGCAAUGUCAGCUAUUGAGAGAAGCUCAGCUAUUUAUAGCUGGAGUCUUGCAACACUUAUCACAGCCUCUGCAGACUUUAGAAAGGCUGAAACACACACACACGCACACACACACAUACAUGCACACACACACAUGCAUGCAAACGCACACACACUACACAGAGUAUAUUUUUUUCCCCAGGAUAUAAAUUUCCCAUCCCAUUGCAGUCUGGGCCGUUGCAUGCAACAUUGAUUGUCUGUUAUAUUACAUUUAUUAAGAAGUGAUAACUUGUAAUAAUUGGAUGUUAAAUUAAAGAACUCUCUCCUAGUUAUUGCCGUCUCAAUUAUAACUGUCGUUGGCUGGCAGUUAUAAUGAUAUAUGAGGGUUGUAUUUUACGCAGCCGACCAUGACCUGGUGAGUAAUAUUCCCCCAGCUAUGGGGGCACUCAUGCACUCCUUGGCUUCCAACGCCUUGCUUGGGUGCUGAUUGGAAUAUUAAGUUUCUGCAAGACUGAGAUGCCGAAAUCCACACGGAGAGCCGCGACUCCACAGCUGAGAGCCCCCUCUGGCAAUCUCCACCCGCCUCCUGCUUCUCCUCGCUGGUACAUGUCCAACUCAUUUCGGCUUUGUUUUAUGGUUAUAGGAAUCAGGUUUAUUUGGUGAGUUAUAAAGUCGUAAAACGUGGGUGAGAGCGUGUUUGUGGUUUCCUUUAAGAUGAAGCUUCUGCAAUUAGCUCUUGGGUCCAAGUGCCAGUGGACAGAGACAGUUGCAAGUGGAAAGCAGGAGGGUGGAGGGAUUGGAUUUAUUUAGAAGCAUCUGAUGGCUGAUCCUUCUAAAUAGAAGGUGGCUGAGUUUCUGCAGGGGUAUCAGGGAGAAGAAGCUGGCAGCUCUGAGGCUCUGGAGUGGAGGCCUAAGUGGAGUGCUGAGGGCUUUCAGUGGUUGCUGUUGCUCUAGGCUUCUGACCCCUGCCCAGGUGAGAGGGCCUGAACUUACUUAAGGGGCCACUGUGGGCCCAGGUCUUGGGGACAAGGCACUCUCUCGUCCCCUCUCUCUAUGGAUAGACAAUAGGUUCAAUGAGUCACUCAUAUACACCCUCUUUCUCAUCUGCUUCCUUCCCUUCAUCAAAGCCAGCAGAAGUGACUUCCAGCACAUCAGCGGUGGCUGCAGGGCAUUCAAGGAGGAUCUGUUAAGAAUGGGACCCUGGGGAACCCUCUGGACAAGCAGUCCUCGGGGAAGUGUUGAAAGAACUAUCAGGGGAAAGGAAGAAGAGAAGACAGACCAGCAUGGAUGCAAAAUCAGGGACUUCAAGGGAUUUCCAGAUCCAUCUGAGAUGAGAGUUUCAUAAUAAUCCUGCCACACUUCCUAGCAAAGCUCCCUUUCUGCCACUCUCAGAAGCAGGUGACAUGUUUACUUCAUUUUAAGCAAAUUCAACAUAUGGUUACUCAAGUUAUUCCUUUUAUAAAAUGGAUCCCCUACAGUAAUCAUUGAAGAAGCAAGAUCUCCAGUACACAUGAAAAGCAAUCUGUUUUUAAAAUGAAUUUUAUUUUCAAGCAACUUUUUCAAAAGUAAUGUUUGUGAUUAGUACAACUAAUAAUUCUUACAUGCCAGACACUGUUCUAAGCUUUCCAAUUCUCAUUUAAUUCUUGCAACAAUGCAGUGAGGCUGGUGCUGUUUAUAUUCCCAAUUUAUAGAUCAAGUAAGUGAGGCAUGAAGAAAUAAGAUAACUUGCUGAAGGCCAUCCAGCUAGUAAGCCUCAGAGCCAAGUAUAAACCCAGACUGUUGGGGACAGAGUCCAUAGUUUUGAUUGCUACAAUUUUCUGCUUCUACACAUGAGAAGGAAACUGGCUAGUAUUCCGGUCUGGCCAGACUGGGAAGACCCAUGCUGCCAUCUGUCAUGGGGUGAGCUUCCAACAGGAACAGUCUGCUCUGAACCCUCUUUUAUUCUCACCUGUUCUGCUUACCUCUGGAGUUUGUCAUUUGGGAGACUUGAGCCUUCCUCAAUCUCUAGCUUCUAUCACAGAACCUGGAACUGUGUAGAUGCUUAAUGAAGCGUCUGCUAAAUGAAUGUUGGGUGAGUGAGACAGUACACACACGGAUUCCUUUGCAGUGAUGUGAGCUGCUCACACUGGAUGCACACAGGCAGAAAAAAGAGAGAAACUGAGGCAGUUAUUGGAAGGCUCAGCUCAAAUCCCUUCCUACUUUGAUGACUAUCUUUGGUUCUAUUAUAUGGAAAAUUCCAUAUGGGGACUGCAAGCUCUUUGAAUGCAAAAUUCACCACCUCUGCCCUAUUAAUGGAUUCCCAAUAUCUGGCACAGUGCUUGGCUUGUAGUAGGGAUACUGUAUGCUGAAAGCAUGAGCAGUUGGUGGAGUGAAGGAAUGACUGGGAGGAUGAAUACAUAUUUCCUACCCUGCCAAUGUCCAGCUCAGCAGCCUCUAAACUUGUGCAAGCAUCAGGAUCUCUUGGAGAGCUUGUGACAACACAGAUGGCUGGGUACACUCCAGGAGUGUUUGAUUCAACAGGUCUGGGUUGGACCCAGGAAUCUACAUUUCUGACAAGUUCCCAGGUGAUGCUGAUGCUGCUGGUCUGGGCUAUCUACCUUGAGAACCACUGGUCUUAGCAGCCCUAGCUCACUGGUUCUCAAUCUUCACUGCAUAUUGGAACCAGCUGCAGGAAUUUAAGAAAAUGCAGAUUCCUGGGCUCCUUCCCUGGACAUUCUCAUGCAAUUGAUCUGAGGUGUGGGCAGGCAUUGGGGAUUUUAAAAGCUCCCAGUGUGGCAGGGUGUGGUGGCUCACGCCUGUAAUCCCAGUACUUUGGGAGGCCAAGGUUGGCCGAUCACUUGAGGCCAGGAGUUAGAGACCAGCCUGGCCAACAUGGCGAAAUCCCAUCUCUACUAAAAGUACAAAAAUUAGCUGGGUGAGGUGGCAUGCACCUGUAGUCACAGCUGCUCAGGAGGCUAAGGCAUGAGAAUCGCUUGAGCCUGGGAGGUGGAGGCUACAGUGAGCCAAGAUUGCACCACUGCACUCCAGCCUGGGUGACAGAGCAAGACUCUGUCUCAAAAAAUAAAAAAUAUUUAAAAAAAGAGCUCCCAGCGUGUUUCAAAUGCAGCAUAGCCAGAAAAGCUCCAGCCCGGCAUUCAUCUUUGACUCUUUACCUUGAUCUUCUUUGUGGCUGAAUGGGUUGGAGGGCUUAUGAGUGGUUUAGCUCACGUCUGUGCCUCUUGAGGCCCCCAAAAGCCACCUUCCCUGCUAUAUUCUGUGCUUGUUCCAGGCAACAGCUUCUCAAGGUGCUGCUUCCCUGAAAUUUCAUGUCUGUUCUUUGACGCCGUGAGACCCCAUCCCAGCCCUCGCCCACCCCGCACGCUGCAGUGUCUAUUAAGAGCA